rnacentral:rRNA from 1 species
UGAAGAUGCCGGAUACCUGCGACAGGACGGAAAGACCCCAUGGAGCUUUACUGUAGCUUGACAUUGGGUCUUGGUACUACAUGUACAGGAUAGGUGGGAGGCUUUGAAACCAGGACGCCAGUUUUGGUGGAGCCAUCCUUGGGAUACCACCCUUGUAGUACUGGGACUCUAACCAUAGGCCAUGAAUCUGGUCUUGGGACACUGUCAGGUGGGCAGUUUGACUGGGGCGGUCGCCUCCCAAAAGGUAACGGAGGCGCUCAAAGGUUCUCUCAGUACGGUCGGAAAUCGUACGUAGAGUGUAAAGGCAAAAGAG